rnacentral:lncRNA from 1 species
UACCGUGAUCUCUAUCAUAGUAUCAUCGAAACUCUUUUCGAUGGGCUAGAAUGAUUCCAACUCACCUCAACAAAGAUCGUUGAUCCGAAAAUGAUCUUAGUAAGUUUUCAUGAUCUACCAGUGACAUCUACCAACAUAUAGUGGAACCCAGCAGAAUAGAAAAAUAAACUCCUAGGUAUAGUUAUCGUAUGAUACAAUCCCUCUAUCGAGGUCCCGACUGUUGGGAAUAGUGUCCCAAAGCCAAUCGUCAACCUGUUGAUGGUUGUGCUCAUUUUUGUAUUUGUACAUAAAUUAUGAAUUAAUAAAAAUUAUUU